UUUAAGUCUGAUGUGAAAGCCUUCGGCUUAACCGGAGAAGUGCAUCGGAAACUGGGAGACUUGAGUGCAGAAGAGGACAGUGGAACUCCAUGUGUAGCGGUGGAAUGCGUAGAUAUAUGGAAGAACACCAGUGGCGAAGGCGGCUGUCUAGUCUGUAACUGACGCUGAGGCUCGAAAGCAUGGGUAGCGAACAGGAUUAGAUACCCUGGUAGUCCAUGCCGUAAACGAUGAGUGCUAAGUGUUGGAGGGUUUCCGCCCUUCAGUGCUGCAGCUAACGCAUUAAGCACUCCGCCUGGGGAGUACGACCGCAAGGUUGAAACUCAAAGGAAUUGACGGGGGCCCGCACAAGCGGUGGAGCAUGUGGUUUAAUUCGAAGCUACGCGAAGAACCUUACCAGGUCUUGACAUCUUCUGCCAAUCUUAGAGAUAAGACGUUCCCUUCGGGGACAGAAUGACAGGUGGUGCAUGGUUGUCGUCAGCUCGUGUCGUGAGAUGUUGGGUUAAGUCCCGCAACGAGCGCAACCCUUAUUAUCAGUUGCCAGCAUUCAGUUGGGCACUCUGGUGAGACUGCCGGUGACAAACCGGAGGAAGGUGGGGAUGACGUCAAAUCAUCAUGCCCCUUAUGACCUGGGCUACACACGUGCUACAAUGGACGGUACAACGAGUUGCGAAGUCGUGAGGCUAAGCUAAUCUCUUAAAGCCGUUCUCAGUUCGGAUUGUAGGCUGCAACUCGCCUACAUGAAGUUGGAAUCGCUAGUAAUCGCGGAUCAGCAUGCCGCGGUGA
rnacentral:rRNA from 1 species